UACGUCGGGGGCUAGCGUUGUCCGGAAUCAUUGGGCGUAAAGAGCGUGUAGGCGGUCCGGUAAGUCCGCUGUGAAAGUCGGGGGCUCAACCCUCGAAUGCCGGUGGAUACUGUCGGGCUAGAGUGCGGAAGAGGAGAGUGGAAUUCCUGGUGUAGCGGUGAAAUGCGCAGAUAUCAGGAAGAACACCAAUGGCGAAAGCAGCUCUCUGGGACGGUACUGACGCUGAGACGCGAAAGCGUGGGGAGCGAACGGG
rnacentral:rRNA from 1 species